UUCAUCAAAAUCUCCUUGGAAGUUCAUUUGUCGGACUACGGCUUUGGUGGUCAGCCGCACUCGGCAUCAUCUUGGUAACGUACUAUCAAUACUGCUCGUUUCUAGCCAAAUCAUCCAUAAGAGAUUUGACCGAGAAAGAGGAAGAUGGAUCGAUAGUCCAAAUCCAAGAGUCAGAGACCUCACGAAAACAGACUGUAAAUGCUGUGAUAAAGCCUAUGCCUUCUUUUUGUUUUUACACAGUAGUAGUUUUGUUGUGUUAAGGAGGAUCCGCCCACUUUGCCCUAUUCUCUUUCCUGUUUUUCUCUGGUUUUUUAGUUUUGCUGUACUAGACUGGACUUCGUUCCCCUUGUUUUUUGGUUCCUUAUUUCUAGUCUUAAUUGGGAUAUGAUGUUUUGGUGCUAAGGGGGUGUCGACCUAGUUGAAAUGUGCGGGUGCACUUUUUGAUCCCCUAGUUUUUUCGCUGUUUAGACUUUUUUUAUUGCUCUCAUUGUAUAAUUCUCUUGUACUUGGAGUUCUUAUUAUUAAUAAAGAAGUUUGUCUCCGUUUCAAAAAAAAAAACCACGAAGGAACAAUGAUAAUCGCCGAUCAUAUUACUUCAUUUUGGGAUGAAAAUUUUAUAUUUCUUCUUAGAAAAUACUGCUGACUGUCUUCAACGCCAUAUCCCAUACGUGGUUAUCUCUCCUUCUUUGUGUCAUAUGUGUCAUGCUCAUUCUGAAACUGCUGCGCACCUUCUUAUUCAUUGUAAUUAAGCUUUUUGUUUUUGGCGAUCUAUUCUUGAUACUUUUGGCUGGUCGGUGGCUCUUUCCCAGAAUAUAUAUUUUUUUUGAAACUCAAACAAACUUCUUUAUUAAUAAUAUGUUUGAUAACCUAGUGGAUCACCCAUUUAUUGGUUGGAAGAAAAUCCUUUGGUUGGCUAUCAUUCUGGCUUUCUUUUGGCUUCUUUGGGGAGAGCGGAAUAAGCGCCUUUUUCAUAAUGUUUCAACAUGCUUUGAUCGUUUCAGUGAUUUGGUUAUUUCUACUGCUUUGUAUUGGUGUAAAAAUAAACACCCUUUUAAGCUUUUAAGUCUUUCUUAUUUUGUUUCUCA